rnacentral:rRNA from 1 species
GGGUACGGAAUAACUCAGAGAAAUUUGUGCUAAUACCGUAUAAUGUCUUCGGACCAAAGAUUUAUCGCCCAAGGAUGAGCCCGCGUAAGAUUAGCUAGUUGGUGGGGUAAAAGCCUACCAAGGCGACGAUCUUUAGCUGGUCUGAGAGGAUGAUCAGCCACACUGGGACUGAGACACGGCCCAGACUCCUACGGGAGGCAGCAGUGGGGAAUAUUGGACAAUGGGCGAAAGCCUGAUCCAGCAAUGCCGCGUGAGUGAUGAAGGCCUUAGGGUUGUAAAGCUCUUUUACCAGGGAUGAUAAUGACAGUACCUGGAGAAUAAGCUCCGGCUAACUCCGUGCCAGCAGCCGCGGUAAUACGGAGGGAGCUAGCGUUGUUCGGAAUUACUGGGCGUAAAGCGCGCGUAGGCGGUUUUUUAAGUCAGAGGUGAAAGCCCAGUGCUCAACACUGGAACUGCCUUUGAAACUGGGAAAACUUGAAUCUUGGAGAGGUCAGUGGAAUUCCGAGU